rnacentral:sRNA from 1 species
UCCAUAUCCGAGCAUUAGAGCUGGUGCGAG